GAUGAACGCUGGCGGCGUGCCUAAUACAUGCAAGUCGAGCGAACAGACGAGGAGCUUGCUCCUCUGACGUUAGCGGCGGACGGGUGAGUAACACGUGGAUAACCUACCUAUAAGACUGGGAUAACUUCGGGAAACCGGAGCUAAUACCGGAUAAUAUGUUGAAUCGCAUGGUUCAACAGUGAAAGACGGUCUUGCUGCCACUUAUAGAUGGAUCCGCGCCGCAUUAGCUAGUUGGUAAGGUAACGGCUUACCAAGGCAACGAUGCGUAGCCGACCUGAGAGGGUGAUCGGCCACACUGGAACUGAGACACGGUCCAGACUCCUACGGGAGGCAGCAGUAGGGAAUCUUCCGCAAAGGGCGAAAGCCUGACGGAGCAACGCCGCGUGAGUGAAGAAGGUCUUCGGAUCGUAAAACUCUGUUAUUAGGGAAGAACAAAUGUGUAAGUAACUAUGCACGUCUUGACGGUACCUAAUCAGAAAGCCACGGCUAACUACGUG
rnacentral:rRNA from 1 species